UUUACCAGUGAAGUUGACUGGUUUGUACUCACUCGGUGUUAUACUGUGUAAAAGCAGUAAAACUGUGCCGUCACUGCUGUGUAUCAAUAAUCAUGGCAAGGAAUCGCGUCUGCAACAUUUGUGAAAAGUCAAUAACUUUACAUGGACAGAGUGAUUUGAAAAAUACAAUGACUUGCUCAUCCUGUAGUGACAUUUUCCAUUUCAUGUGCCUUGAACUACCUAAAGAAAUUCACCAAGUUAUAUGUUCAUAUCCAUGGCAAUGCAAUGAUUGUAAAUCAUGUGAAGUAUGCAAAAGUGAUAAAAAUGAGAAAAAGCUUCUGUGCUGUGAUGGAUGUGACAA